rnacentral:rRNA from 1 species
AUUGAACGCUGGCGGCAGGCCUAACACAUGCAAGUCGAACGGUAACAGUAAGAAGCUUGCUUCUUAGCUGACGAGUGGCGGACGGGUGAGUAAUGCCUGGGGAUCUGGCGAAGGGCGGGGGAUAACCACUAGAAACGGUGGCUAAUACCGCAUGAUAUAGGCGUAAGCUUAUCAAAGAGGGGGCUCUUCGGACCUCUCGCCCUUUGAUGAUCCCAGGUGGGAUUAGCUGGUAGGUGAGGUAAUGGCUCACCUAGGCGACGAUCCCUAGCUGGUCUGAGAGGAUGAUCAGCCACACUGGGACUGAGACACGGCCCAGACUCCUACGGGAGGCAGCAGUGGGGAAUAUUGCACAAUGGGCGCAAGCCUGAUGCAGCCAUGCCGCGUGUGUGAAGAAGGCCUUCGGGUUGUAAAGCACUUUCAGCGAUGGGGAAGGUUAGGUGGCUAAUAUCUGCUUAACUUGACGUUAUUCACAGAAGAAGCACCGGCUAACUCCGUGCCAGCAGCCGCAGUAA